rnacentral:rRNA from 1 species
CCUACGGUGGGCAGCAGUAGGGAAUCUUCCACAAUGGACGAAAGUCUGAUGGAGCAACGCCGCGUGAGUGAAGAAGGGUUUCGGCUCGUACAGCUCUGUUGGUAGUGAAGAAAGAUAGAGGUAGUAACUGGUCUUUAUUUGACGGUACUUACUUAGAAAGUCACGGCUAACUACGUGGCAGCAGCCGCGGUAAUACGUAGGUGGCAAGCGUUGUCCGGAUUUAUUGGGCGUAAAGCGAGUGCAGGCGGUUCAAUAAGUCUGAUGUGAAAGCCUUCGGCUCAACCGGAGAAUGGCAUCGGAAACUGUUGAACUAGAGUGCAGGAGAGGAGAGUGGAACUCCAUGUGUAGCGGUGGAAUGCGUAGAUAUAUGGAAGAACACCAGUGGCGAAGGCGGCUCUCUGGUCUGCUACUGACGCUGAGGCUCGAAAGCAUGGGGAGCAAACAGGAUUAGAUACCCCUGUAGUC